rnacentral:rRNA from 1 species
AACGUAGGAGGCAAGCGUUAUCCGGAGUUACUGGGCGUAAAGCGUGCGUAGGCGGGUUGGUAAGUGGGCGGUGAAAGCGCUCGGCUAAACCGGGCGAGUGCCAUCCAGACUGCCAGUCUAGAGGCGGAUAGAGGGGUGCGGAAUUCCGGGUGUAGCGGUGAAAUGUGUAGAGAUCCGGAGGAACACCAGUGGUGCAAACGGCGCCCUGGGUCCGAACUGACGCUGAUGCACGAAAGCGUGGGGAGCGAACGGG